rnacentral:rRNA from 1 species
GAUGAACGCUAGCUACAGGCUUAACACAUGCAAGUCGAGGGGAAACGAUAGAGAAAGCUUGCUUUUUCUAGGCGUCGACCGGCGCACGGGUGAGUAACGCGUAUCCAACCUGCCCAUCACUUGGGAAUAACCUUGCGAAAGUAAGACUAAUACCCAAUGACGUCUCUAGAAGACAUCUGAAGGAGAUUAAAGAUUUAUCGGUGAUGGAUGGGGAUGCGUCUGAUUAGCUUGUUGGCGGGGUAAACGGCCCACCAAGGCGACGAUCAGUAGGGGUUCUGAGAGGAAGGCCCCCCACAUUGGAACUGAGACACGGUCCAAACUCCUACGGGAGGCAGCAGUGAGGAAUAUUGGUCAAUGGACGAGAGUCUGAACCAGCCAAGUAGCGUGCAGGAUGACGGCCCUAUGGGUUGUAAACUGCUUUUAUUAAGGGAAUAAAAGUGAGUCUCGUGAGACUUUUUGUCAUGUACCUUAUGAAUAAGGACCGGCUAAUUCCGUGCUAGCAGCCGCGG